GAUGAAGAACGUAGCGAAAUGCGAUAAGUAGUGUGAAUUGCAGAAUUCAGUGAAUCAUCGAAUCUUUGAACGCACAUUGCGCCCCUUGGUAUCCCGAGGGGCAUGCCUGUUCGAGCGUCAUUUCACCACUCAAGCCUGGCUUGGUGUUGGGCGACGUCCUCUUUGGGGACGCGCCUCGAAACGCUCGGCGGCGUGGCACCGGCUUUAAGCAUAGCAGAAUCUUUCGCUUUGGAAGUCGGGGCCCCGUCUGCCGGAAGACCUGCUCGCAAGGUUGACCUCGGAUCAGGCAGGGAUACCCGCUGAACUUAAGCAUAUCAAUAAGCGGAGGA
rnacentral:misc_RNA from 1 species